GUUAAAUUGUGAUUUUAAUCAAAUCAACCCAGGUGUUAUUUACAGCUGGAUAUAAUUGAGAAGUAGCUAUCCACCAUAGCACUUAAGAUGUACUGUACGUAAGGGAUCUAGGAAAUGUCAUGAAAAAAAAUAGAUAGGUUAUCACCAUCGUAAAUGUGCAUAAACUUACAAUGUGUCUGUUUCAUUUGUGCACCAUUUAAUCAUGCAACCACAAUAAGGAACCAUUAGAGCAAGAGAUGACCGAGACAGAUAUACCUGUCUGGUGACAUUGUGUAUCCUCACUAACUUAUCUGUCUGGUGGCAAUAUUCCUCAGACCCCCUUAAGAAGAGUUCUCCUUUCUAUCCAUCUGUGGCCCCAAUGCCUUACUACUUUUCACACCACCUGUAAUAACUUUCAUAUAAUCAAAAUACACUAAGAUCAUACUUUAUUUGCUCCUAAGAGCAAUAGCUUAGAAUCCCUUUAAGGGGACACUAAAGGUACUCAGACCUCUUCAUCUCAAUGAAGUUGUCUAGGUUCCAUGCCCCUGUCUUUUGAAGCCUGCAAUGUAAAACAUUGCAAUUUCAUAGGAACAGCAAUAUUUUUAUUGAAGAGUUAACAAGCCUCUAUUGCAGCCACUAGAGGCACUUUCCUCUGCUAUAAGGGAGUCAUACUCAGUUAUUGAUCAGAUGCUGCUUCUACAGUAAAUAUUGCCUUUCACAUUAUGACAUGGGGUGGGGACAUCUAGAUAGGUUACAGGAAACUAUUAAUACAAACCAAAUGUUUGUAUUCCUAACGCUAUAGUGUUCCUUUAAAAAUGGAUUAGACACUGGAUACUAAAAAAACUGUGACAAGUGCUACUUUCACCCGGAAAGAUAACU